CUAUUGUUCUGUUAAUUUACAGAGUGAGAGAGUGUAAUUUAUGCAUUAGAGAGUGCUGUGGAAUUAAAAUCAAAAGUGAGUGGUUUAUUAAAAUGUUCUAUAGGUUUGUUGGAUGUACUGAAUGUCUUUGGGUUCUUGAAAGAAGAAUUCUGUGAUUUUAUAAAUAUAUGCACGUUGGAAUCCUGAUUACUGCUGUAUCACAGGGAUGCAAACCAAUGCAUUUGCAGCAAAGAAUACAACUAAAACAUGAAACCUCAUUGAAAA